GGAAUUGCGCUUGGGGCAAUGACACAGUCAGUGAAGUGAAACCCAGACGCGUCAAUUGCUGGUUGAAAACUACUUCCAAUGGGCGGAGAGCAUUUUGGGAGUUGAGCAUAGACA
rnacentral:snRNA from 1 species